rnacentral:lncRNA from 10 species
AAAUCUUAGACCUGAAGUAGAUUAGACUUGGAAAUGCAAAGACAACUUGGAAGGUAUUUAUGGCAAGAGGAGUAGCUUGAACAAAGAAGAUCUUUGCAUGGAUGUGUUCUUCAUUUAUCAUGGUACAUUCCUAGGAGUGGAAUUGCUGUGUCAUAUGAGAAGAAUAUAUCCAGGCUGAUCCAUCAAUCCCAGAAGGAGAACAAGAAACACAUGGAGCAGAGCUAAGUUACCCAGCCUAGCUCAGCCUAGAUCAGCAUCCUGUAACAGGCCCCCAGCCUUGUGGGCUAAAUAAACAUGUGUUGUUGUAUGUUACUGUGUUGUUUUUACUUAGCACUCUGUGGCAAUAGCUGAUAUACCUUCUGUGAUCGCCCUGUUUAAAAUUUAAUGUGCACAAGAUAUAAAACCCAAAAUGCACAGAUGUGUUAGUAUCACAUCAUCUAUAAGAUUCUCUUUAAUUUACUGACCAUUUUAAAAUUUAGUACAUUACUCUUCUUUUUUGGCAAAAAGGCACCCGACUUGCAUGGUUUUCUGUGAGAACUAAGCUUUUGCAUGACUUGUUCAUGCCUUUGUAUCCAAUCAGAGCAACACUGACAGCAGAUGCUUUGGAUAUAAUUUCCCAUUCAUCUUAGUUUUUUCUUCACAACAUUUGAUUCUUGCAGUUGCUGGAAUGAUUUCCAGAAUGAGAUUCAUUGUAUAAGCUUUGAGUCAGGAAUUUUAGCAUUUUAGAAUAAACAAAUGCACACAGAUUGUUCCUAAAGAACAGGCUUAGGGCCCAGAAAUUACAGUACUCCAAUCAUUCUCUUGCCAUUUUUAGUUACUUCAUAGCUUGGUAAAAUAAGCUGUUUCCAGGCAUUCCAUGCAUUUUUUUGUCCCUAGUUCACCAGCCCUUUUCCACAGUUCUCUUGGGUAUUCUCUUUAGAACUUAAUAUUUAAGCAUGGAUAUAAAAACAAUUUGCAACAUGAGAUUUAGCUGUGUGUGCAAAAUUUUAUUUAUUUAUUUUUUUACAUAUGGUUGAGAGAGUUCAUAGCUUUU